rnacentral:rRNA from 1 species
AGAGUUUGAUCCUGGCUCAGAACGAACGCUGGCGGCAUGGAUUAGGCAUGCAAGUUGAACGAACCACUUCGGUGGUGAGUAGCGGAAGGGUGAGGAACGCGUGAGUAAUCUGCCCUCCAGUUGGGAAUAACAGUUGGAAACGACUGCUAAUACCGAAUGUGGCUCAGGUCCUGCAUGGGACCCGGGCUAAAGAUUUAUCGCUGGAGGAUGAGCUCGCGUCCCAUUAGGUAGUUGGUGAGGUAACGGCUCACCAAGCCGACGAUGGGUAGCUGGUCUGAGAGGAUGGUCAGCCACACUGGGACUGAGACACUGCCCAGACUCCUACGGGAGGCUGCAGUCGAGAAUCUUGGGCAAUGCGCGAAAGCGUGACCCAGCAAUGCCGCGUGUAUGAUGAAGGCCCUCGGGUCGUAAAGUACUGUCUCCCGUGACGAAAUUUGACGGUAGCGGGGAAGGAAGCCACGGCUAACUAC